UUGAUGUACAGGCUCAGAAUGUGGAGUUUCCUACAAAAAAUUUGAAAAGGAACACUUUGGACAGUCUUUUAUGAAUUUUUACGCAGUGUUCCUGGAACAAAAGUGGAUUGUUCUGACGUUUUCUUCAAUACAAAGAUGCACAACAAGGCAAGUCAUGGCAAGUUUGAGGAAGUCCUGAAAAUUCGUUUCAAGAAAUAAAAUCAUGUUACGCGGAUCAAAUCUCAUUAUAAGUGGAUCGAUCUUAUGGCCAUUGUAGAGAAGAGAAAAUCUUGAACUAACGGACUGCAUUUCGUCAAAAAUCAUAAAAACUUUAAAUAUAAGAUGCUGUGUUUCCAAGAUCAGGGAAUGUUCAGGAUACAAAUGGACAUGAUAGAAGAAGUGACACUUUGGCGAUCUCAGGGAGGUCAUUCCAGAUCAGACUCAGCUAUGCAGGCCUACCACAAGCUCAAGUUGGGAGUGAUGAGGAAGAGAUCUAGCCAUGCAAAUUAGAGCAUUUUCAAAUGAAAUUAAGCAAUGCAUACUGGCGUUACCUAAAGAAGAGUUUGAAUGAAUGCCCAUUCAUAAACAAUGUAAGCCGGGAAAGCAUUUGUGCCAAGAACCAUCUAUUUAAUAUUCCUUUGCUUUACAGAAAUAUUCGAAAUUAAGAGGUGGGAUACAAAUGAAUUAUAACGAUUCCUGAGUACUGUUCUCUUUUGUUAGUAAUACACUAAUUAGUUUAGUUGGUAAGUAAAUUUUUUUCUUAAAUCUUUCAGGAUACUUAAAGUUUGUUUAUUUUUUCUUAUUCCUUGGUGAAUAACAUUAAUGGAAGUUAAUUUUAACAAAAAAGUGCAACGUUUUUCAAAAGAGCGUAAGAUCAUGAUUUGAUUUUAAAUAUAAAAACUUGUGAAAAAAUGCAUAAAAUAGAUAAAAGGGUGCAUCUGUAACAAGGCUACCCCCUGAUUGUUCCUUUGAUUUGGGGACGUACUUG